UGUAGCAAUCCAGUAUCAGACUCUCUUAAAUUAUUUGCUGAAAAUGAAAUGAUGCUUACCGUAUCAUGGCAAUGAUAGCGAGACGAAACUUGGCGUAAGUUAUUUCCUUUAGGAAAUUAAAAUUACCCGAAGACACUUGCCUUUGUACAUACGCAACAUAAUAUUUGUACAUAGGUAAACUGAACAAGAAUAACAAAGAAAAAACAUUCAAAAGAGAUAGGGCGAGAAAAUUAAAUAAUGGACAAACGUAGCUACUAAUGCUUCGGCAAAUUUUCAUUAAAAAGUACCUCGA